rnacentral:rRNA from 1 species
UAUGGUAGUGCCAGCCGCCGCGGUAAUACGUAGGCGGCAAGCGUUGUCCGGAAUUAUUGGGCGUAAAGGGAGCGCAGGCGGGAAACUAAGCGGAUCUUAAAAGUGCGGGGCUCAACCCCGUGAUGGGGUCCGAACUGGUUUUCUUGAGUGCAGGAGAGGAAAGCGGAAUUCCCAGUGUAGCGGUGAAAUGCGUAGAUAUUGGGAAGAACACCAGUGGCGAAGGCGGCUUUCUGGACUGUAACUGACGCUGAGGCUCGAAAGCUAGGGUAGCGAACGGG